rnacentral:rRNA from 1 species
CAGUAGCCGCGGGAAUACGUAGGGGGCAAGCGUUAUCCGGAAUAACUGGGCGUAAAGGGUGCGCAGGUGGUUUAACAAGUUAGUGGUGAAAGGCAUAGGCUCAACCAAUGUAAGCCAUUAAAACUGUUUAACUUGAGUGCAGGAGAGGAAAGUGGAAUUCCUAGUGUAGCGGUGAAAUGCGUAGAUAUUAGGAGGAAUACCAGUGGCGAAGGCGACUUUCUGGACUGCAACUGACACUGAGGCACGAAAGCGUGGGGAGCAAACAGGAUUAGAGACCCCUGUAGUCCCUGUCUCUUAUACA